rnacentral:rRNA from 1 species
CAGUAGCCGCGGUAAUACGUAGGGUGCAAGCGUUAAUCGGAAUUACUGGGCGUAAAGCGUGCGCAGGCGGUUUGUUAAGACAGAUGUGAAAUCCCCGGGCUUAACCUGGGAACUGCAUUUGUGACUGGCAAGCUAGAGUCUGGCAGAGGGGGGUGGAAUUCCGCGUGUAGCAGUGAAAUGCGUAGAUAUGCGGAGGAACACCGAUGGCGAAGGCAGCCCCCUGGGCCAACACUGACGCUCAUGCACGAAAGCGUGGGGAGCAAACAGGAUUAGAUACCCCUGUAGUCCCUGUCUCUUAUAC